rnacentral:rRNA from 1 species
AACGCUAGCUACAGGCUUAACACAUGCAAGUCGAGGGGUAGCAGGGUAGCAAUACCGCUGACGACCGGCGCACGGGUGAGUAACACGUAUCCAACCUUCCCAUAACUCGGGGAUAGCCUUUCGAAAGAAAGAUUAAUACCCGAUAGUACUUAACAAAGGCAUCUUUGAUAAGUUAAAGAUUUAUUGGUUAUGGAUGGGGAUGCGUUCCAUUAGAUAGUUGGUGAGGUAACGGCUCACCAAGUCUUCGAUGGAUAGGGGUUCUGAGAGGAAGGUCCCCCACAUUGGUACUGAGACACGGACCAAACUCCUACGGGAGGCAGCAGUGAGGAAUAUUGGUCAAUGGGCGAGAGCCUGAACCAGCCAAGUAGCGUGAAGGAUGACGG